AAAUUUAAAUGUAGUUUGUAUUAAAAUAAUUUAAACUUUCUUUAUAUUAUAUAAUAUAUAUUUUUUGAAAAUAGAAGAAAAAUUUAUACUUUUAAAAAAAUAAAGUAGAAGUUUAAAAAGAUGAUUUGGCUAAACUUGUGCCAGCCGCCGCGGUUAUACAAGUGAAUCAUUUUUAAAAAAAUUAAAAAUAAUAAAAAUAUAAAUUAAAUUUUAUAAUUUUAAAAAGGUGAAAUUUAUAAUCUUUAUAUUAAUUAGUUUGAUUUUAAAAAAAUUUAAUUUUUAAACUAGGAUUAGAUACCCUAUUAUUUUAAGCUGUAUGUUGGUAGUAAGUAAAAUUUAUGAAAUCAUAAAAUUUUGGCGGUAUUUUAAGCUUGUUAGAGGAAUUUGCUCUGUAAUGGACACAACGCCUAGAUCUUACUUAAUUUGGUAUUAAAAGUCAGUUUGUAUACCACUAUAUUUAAUUAUAUUGAGUAGUUAUAUUUAAGAUUUUUAAAAUAAAAAAAAUAUAUUAAGUCAAGGUGCAACUAAUAAUUAUGAAUGAGGUGAAUUACAUUAAUUUUAAUGUUAUUAUAAUAUUGAAAAAGAAAUUUUUUAGGAUUUAAUAGUAAAAUGUUAAUAUAAUGAAUAUUUGAAUAAAGCUCUAAAAUAUGCACAUAUCGCCCGUCGCUCUCAGCAGUGAGAUAAGUCAGUAACAAAGUAAAAAUACUGGAAAGUGUUUUU
rnacentral:ncRNA from 1 species